CUCGUAGGCGGCCAACUAAGUCGGAUGUGAAAUCCCCAGGCUCAACUUGGGAACUGCAUCCGAUACUGGAUGGCUUGAAUUCGGGAGAGGGAUGCAGAAUUCCAGGUGUAGCGGUGAAAUGCGUAGAUAUCUGGAGGAAUACCGGUGGCGAAGGCGGCAUCCUGGACCGACAUUGACGCUGAGGAGCGAAAGCUAGGGGAGCAACG
rnacentral:rRNA from 1 species